GACGAACGCUGGCGGCGUGCUUAACACAUGCAAGUCGAACGAAGCAGCUUGAUUCGUUUCUUCGGAUGAAGAGCUUGGCGAGUGAGUGGCGGACGGGUGAGUAACGCGUGGGUAACGUGUCUCAUACAGGGGGAUAACAGUUAGAAAUGACUGCUAAUAUCGCACAAGAUCACAGCACCGCAUGGUGCAGGGGUAAAAACUCGGGUGGUAUGGGAUGGACGCGUGUCUGAUUAGGUAGUUGGUGGGGUAACGGCCUACCAAGCCGACGAGCAGUAGCCGAGAUGGGGAGGUGACCGGCCAGAUUGGGGCUGCGACCCGGACCAAAAUGGUAGGGAAGGCAGCAGUGGAGAGUAUUACACGCUGAGGGAAGCCGUAACGCCGCCGCGCCGGGUAAGCCGGGAAGUAGUUCGGAAUGUGCAGCCGUAUGAGAAGAGAAGAAAGUGACGGUACCUGACAAAGAAGCACCGGCUAAAUACGUG
rnacentral:rRNA from 1 species